CCUACCCCUAGAAGUGUUACAGGUAUGGUUGCUGUGUUACAUGUGCAUUAGUAGGUGGCACAGAGGAGAGAGGCUAAGUCUACACUCGGGGUUCUGAUCUGUGAACAUCUGAAUGAUUAAUUAGUAGUCUAACAUU